GCUUGGGGUCCCCAGAUGUGGCACGGAUUACUUGUCUGAUCUCGGAAGUUAAGCAGGGUCGGCCCUAAUUAGUUCUUGGAUGGGAGACCACCUCAGAAUACCGGGUGCUGUAGGCU
rnacentral:rRNA from 1 species